rnacentral:rRNA from 1 species
GAUCCUGGCUCAGGACGAACGCUGGCGGCGUGCCUAACACAUGCAAGUCGAACGGAGUCGGCCCCGCAAGGGACUGACUUAGUGGCGAACGGGUGAGUAACGCGUGAGCAACCUGCCUUUCAGUGGGGGGACAACAGUUGGAAACGACUGCUAAUACCGCAUAAUGCAUUUUGACCGCAUGAUCGAGAUGCCAAAGAUUUAUUGCUGAAAGAUGGGCUCGCGUCUGAUUAGAUAG